rnacentral:rRNA from 1 species
AUUGAACGCUGGCGGCAUGCCUUACACAUGCAAGUCGAACGGUAACGCGGGGCAACCUGGCGACGAGUGGCGAACGGGUGAGUAAUGCAUCGGAACGUGCCUGGUAGUGGGGGAUAACUGCUCGAAAGAGCAGCUAAUACCGCAUACGACCUGAGGGUGAAAGGGGGGGAUCGCAAGACCUCUCGCUAUCAGAGCGGCCGAUGUCGGAUUAGCUAGUUGGUGGGGUAAAAGCCCACCAAGGCGACGAUCCGUAGCUGGUCUGAGAGGACGACCAGCCACACUGGGACUGAGACGCGGCCCAGACUCCUACGGGAGGCAGCAGUGGGGAAUUUUGGACAAUGGACGCAAGUCUGAUCCAGCCAUGCCGCGUGCGGGAAGAAGGCCUUCGGGUUGUAAACCGCUUUUGUCAGGGAAGAAACGCUCUGGGCUAAUACCCUGGGGUAAUGACGGUACCUGAAGAAUAAGCACCGGCUAACUACGUGCCAGCCGCCGCCGUAACAC